UGCAAAAUAUGCUAAAUAUGUUUGGUUUAUUGAGAUAGUGUGGAGAUCUCAAUAAACCAAACAUAUUUAGCACAUUUUGCA
rnacentral:pre_miRNA from 1 species